GGGGGGUGCAAGCGUUGUUCGGAUUUAUUGGGCGUAAAGCGCGUGUAGGCGGUUUUAUAAGUCUGAUGUGAAAGCCCUGGGCUCAACCCGGGAAGUGCAUUGGAUACUGUAAGACUUGAAUACGGGAGAGGGCAGUGGAAUUCCUAGUGUAGGAGUGAAAUCCGUAGAUAUUAGGAGGAACACCGGUGGCGAAGGCGGCUGCCUGGACCGAUAUUGACGCUGAGACGCGAAAGCGUGGGUAGCAAACAGGAUUAGAUACCCUGGUAGUCCACGCCGUAAACGAUGAGAACUAGGUGUUGCGGGUAUUGACCCCUGCAGUGCCGUAGCUAACGCAUUAAGUUCUCCGCCUGGGAAGUAUGGUCGCAAGACU
rnacentral:rRNA from 1 species